UUCUGCAUCCAAAAGUGAUCACAGGCUGCCUGUGCUCUGGUCAUUGAUAGUGCAGAGAGAGGAAGCCUCGUGUUUGUAGCGUCCACCUCGUCCUUCCCUGGAGCUUUCACACA